AUAAAACAAACAAAAACACACGAAGAAAAACACACACAAAAAAAAGCAAAACGAGGAGGUCAGCUAUUUUCCAGUCAUUUCAUCGCGACCUUUGAAAGUUUUCUGGUCUGUUUUUUUCCACCACUUGUGGAA
rnacentral:ribozyme from 1 species